GACGAACGCUGGCGGCGUGCUUAACACAUGCAAGUCGAACGGAAAGGCCCUGCUAUUGUGGGGUGCUCGAGUGGCGAACGGGUGAGUAACACGUGAGUAACCUGCCCUUGACUUUGGGAUAAAUUCAGGAAACUGGGGCUAAUACCGGAUAGGAGCUCCUGCUGCAUGGGGGGGGAUGGAAAGUUUCGGCGGUUGGGGAUGGAAUCGCGGCUUAUCAGCUUGUUGGUGGGGUAGUGGCUUACCAAGGCUUUGACGGGUAGCCGGCCUGAGAGGGUGACCGGCCACAUUGGGCCUGAGGUACGGCCCAGACUGCUACGGGAGGCAGCAGUGGGGAAUAUUGCGCAAUGGGCGGAAGCCUGAUGCAGCAACGCCGGGUGCGGGAUGACGGCUUUCGGGUUGUAAACCGCUUUCGCCUGUGACGAAGCGUGAGUGACGGUAAUGGGUAAAGAAGCACCGGCUAACUACGUG
rnacentral:rRNA from 1 species